CCUACGGGAGACUGCAGUGGGGAAUAUUGCACAAUGGGGGAAACCCUGAUGCAGCGAAGCCGCGUGAGUGAAGAAGUAUUUCGGUAUGGAAAGCUCUAUCAGCAGGGGAGAAAAUGACGGUACCCGAGUAAGGAGCGCCGGCUAACUACGUACCAGCAACCGCGGUAAUACGUAGGGGGCAAGCGGUAUCCGGAUUUACUGGGUGUAAAGGGAGCGUAGACGGCAGCACAAGUCUGGCGUGAAAUGCCGGGGCUUAACCCCGGAACUGCUUUUGAAACUGUGCAGCUAGAGUGCAGGAGAGGUAAGUGGAAUGCGUGGUGUAGCGGUGAAAUGCGUAGAUAUCACGAGGAACACCAGUGGCGAAGGCGGCUUACUGGACUGCAACUGACGUUGAGGCGCGAAAGCGUGGGGAGCAAACAGGAUUAGAUACCCCAGUAGUC
rnacentral:rRNA from 1 species